rnacentral:rRNA from 1 species
GAUGAACGCUGGCGGCGCGCCUAAUACAUGCAAGUCGAGCGAACAGACGAGGAGCUUGCUCCUCUGACGUUAGCGGCGGACGGGUGAGUAACACGUGGAUAACCUACCUAUAAGACUGGGAUAACUUCGGGAAACCGGAGCUAAUACCGGAUAAUAUAUUGAACCGCAUGGUUCAAUAGUGAAAGACGGUUUUGCUGUCACUUAUAGAUGGAUCCGCGCCGCAUUAGCUAGUUGGUAAGGUAACGGCUUACCAAGGCAACGAUGCGUAGCCGACCUGAGAGGGUGAUCGGCCACACUGGAACUGAGACACGGUCCAGACUCCUACGGGAGGCAGCAGUAGGGAAUCUUCCGCAAUGGGCGAAAGCUUGACGGAGCAACGCCGCGUGAGUGAUGAAGGUCUUCGGAUCGUAAAACUCUGUUAUUAGGGAAGAACAAAUGUGUAAGUAACUAUGCACGUCUUGACGGUACCUAAUCAGAAAGCCACGGCUAACUACGUG